GUGAGGAAUUUUCCGCAAUGGGCGAAAGCCUGACGGAGCAAUGCCGCGUGAAGGAUGAAGGCCUAUGGGUUGUAAACUUCUUUUCUCAGAAAAGAAUUAUGACGGUAUCUGAGGAAUAAGCAUCGGCUAACUCUGUGCCAGCAGCCGCGGUAAGACAGAGGAUGCAAGCGUUAUCCGGAAUGUUUGGGCGUAAAGCGUCUGUAGGUUGUUUAAAAAGUAUUCUGUCAAAGAUUAGGGCUUAACCCUAGAUAGGCAGAAUAAACUUUUAAGCUAGAGUUUGGUAGAGGCAGAGGGAAUUCCCGGUGGAGCGGUGAAAUGCGUAGAUAUCGGGAGGAACACCAAAGGCGAAGGCACUCUGCUGGGCCAAUACUAACACUGAGAGACGAAAGCGAGGGGAGCAAAUGGGAUUAGAUACCCGUGUAGUCC
rnacentral:rRNA from 1 species